rnacentral:tRNA from 1 species
GAGCCUAUAGCCUAGUGGUCAUGGCAUCUGCCCGGCAUCUAUCCGUGAACUUCACACAGACAGAAUAAGGCAAUUAUAUAAGUAGACUGCCCGGUAAGCGGAAGGUCGUGGGUUCGAUUCCCAUCCCUUGACACU